CAUUGCUAUAGAGACCACAAGACCUAUGCUGCCCACGAGUAGCUUUCGAUGACGAUGGUCGUGGAAGGCAAAAGCUGAGAUAAUAGCAGUGAUGCAGAACACUAGCAACACUGGUAUAGCUGUCAUGGCUACCUGCACCUGUAAUGGAAAAUCACCUUCAGUAACCAUAUCUUUUCUCCACCUGUACUUAGCAUGCCCAAGCAUGUGCGCAAGCUUACAGAAUAGAGUAAAAGAAAAUGGGAUGGCUUUUGGGCAUGUUCCUUUUGCUGUAGUGUUUCUUGUUUGGGUUAAGAAUGAAGGAAGAAGUUUGUAUGGAAGUUAGAACUUGCCUUUCCUUUGGCCGUAGCAUACCAGAAGUAGAUGAGAACAUAAGAUAGCUCAAGGGCGAUCCCGACGCCAUUAACGGUAACCAGAGGGAAAUUUUCCCAUUUGCAGCUCACAACAGGCAGUCCAUACCAAGUAAAGAGGAGACAGUUCAACAGCCCGAUGAUGUAGGGGAUGCAUGGGAACUCCUCUGUGCUUUUCUUCCUUAUGACCCUCCCAAAAGUGACCCUGAAGAAAGAAAUCGUAAAGGAACAGUCAAGGUUUCACAUUCUUCAAAGACAGGAAGAUGACAGAUGAGAGUAAAAUAGCAUAGCAUACGUGGGAGCAGCGUAAAGGGAAAUUGAGGCAGCAUUCCCUGCAAGAAGAACCCAGACGGUUCACUUUCUUGUUAAGAAGUCACAUUUAUCAGUAAUGCUAAGGAAUGAAGGAAUGAACAACCAAAUACCAAGAAUGGCGACGGCCAUGCGAAGGGUCUGUGCCAUCUUUAGUUCUCUUCAGUCUCUAGUAAAGAUGAGGCGAAUAAUGUGCAUCUCCAAGGAGAGCCAUGAGGUGCUAUAUAUAGCAACUCGGGGGUACUGUUCAGCAAACAGCCCUGCUCUCGAUGAUGUGGCUUCCAUUUUCUAGAGAUAUGGGAAUUUAUUAGACAA